rnacentral:rRNA from 1 species
CACGGGGGGAGCAAGCGUUGUUCGGAAUCACUGGGCGUAAAGGGCGUGUAGGCGGUCAGGUAAGUGGGAUGUGAAAUGCCCCGGCUCACCCGGGGACCGGCAUCCCAUACUGCUUGGCUUGAGUGCGGGAGAGGAUGUGGGAAUUCCUGGUGUAGCGGUGAAAUGCGUAGAUAUCAGGAGGAACACCGGUGGCGAAGGCGCACAUCUGGCCCGAUACUGACGCUGAGGCGCGAAAGCUAGGGGAGCAAACGGG